rnacentral:rRNA from 1 species
CCUACGGGCGGCAGCAGUGAGGAAUAUUGGUCAAUGGGCGGAAGCCUGAACCAGCCAAGUCGCGUGAGGGAAUAAGGCCCUACGGGUCGUAAACCUCUUUUGCCGGGGAGCAAGGGCGGGGACGUGUCCCGGCCCGGAGAGUACCCGGAGAAAAAGCAUCGGCUAACUCCGUGCCAGCAGCCGCGGUAAUACGGAGGAUGCGAGCGUUAUCCGGAUUUAUUGGGUUUAAAGGGCGUGUAGGCGGGAUUGCAAGUCAGAUGUGAAAACCACGGGCUCAACCUGUGGGCUGCAUUUGAAACUGUAGUUCUUGAGUGCUGGAGAGGCAAUCGGAAUUCCGUGUGUAGCGGUGGAAUGCGCAGAUAUCGGGAAGAACACCGAUGGCGAAGGCAGCUCUCUGGGCCGUCACUGACGCUGAGGCGCGAAAGCUGGGGGAGCGAACAGGAUUAGAUACCCGAGUAGUC